AACGAACGCUGGCGGCAGGCUUAACACAUGCAAGUCGAACGCCCCGCAAGGGGAGUGGCAGACGGGUGAGUAACGCGUGGGAAUCUACCCAGAUCUACGGAACAACAGUUGGAAACGACUGCUAAUACCGUAUACGCCCUACGGGGGAAAGAUUUAUCGGAUUUGGAUGAGCCCGCGUUGGAUUAGCUAGUUGGUGGGGUAAUGGCCUACCAAGGCGACGAUCCAUAGCUGGUCUGGGAGGAUGAUCAGCCACACUGGGACUGAGACACGGCCCAGACUCCUACGGGAGAAAGCGGUGAGGAAAAUUGGACAAUGGGCGCAAGCCUGAUCCAGCCAUGCCGCGUGAGUGAGGAAGGCCUUAGGGUUGUAAAGCUCUUUCACCGAUGAAGAUAAUGACGGUACCCACAGAAGAAGCCCCGGCUAACUGCGUGCCAGCAGCCGCCGUAACAC
rnacentral:rRNA from 1 species